rnacentral:rRNA from 1 species
UACAGAGGUCUCAAGCGUUGUUCGGAUUCAUUGGGCGUAAAGGGUGCGUAGGCGGCGCGGUAAGUCGGGUGUGAAAUCUUGGAGCUUAACUCCGAAACUGCAUUCGAUACUGCCGUGCUUGAGGACUGGAGAGGAGACUGGAAUUUACGGUGUAGCGGUGAAAUGCGUUGAUAUCGUAAGGAAGACCAGUGGCGAAGGCGGGUCUCUGGACAGUUCCUGACGCUGAGGCACGAAGGCCAGGGGAGCAAACGGG